rnacentral:rRNA from 1 species
CCUACGGGUGGCUGCAGUGGGGAAUAUUGGACAAUGGGGGGAACCCUGAUCCAGCCAUGCCGCGUGUGUGAAGAAGGCCCUCGGGUUGUAAAGCACUUUCAGUGAGGAAGAACGCCUGGUGGUUAAUACCCAGCAGGAAAGACAUCACUCACAGAAGAAGCACCGGCUAACUCCGUGCCAGCAGCCGCGGUAAUACGGAGGGUGCGAGCGUUAAUCGGAAUUACUGGGCGUAAAGCGCGCGUAGGUGGCUUGAUAAGCCGGUUGUGAAAGCCCCGGGCUCAACCUGGGAACGGCAUCCGGAACUGUCAAGCUAGAGUGCAGGAGAGGAAGGUAGAAUUCCCGGUGUAGCGGUGAAAUGCGUAGAGAUCGGGAGGAAUACCAGUGGCGAAGGCGGCCUUCUGGACUGACACUGACACUGAGGUGCGAAAGCGUGGGUAGCAAACAGGAUUAGAUACCCCUGUAGUC